rnacentral:tRNA from 1 species
GGUACCUCUACAAUUUGUAGAGAUAAACUCCCUGCAAAGGAGCUAAUUUAGUACCCCUUUUUAUCAGGCACCU